AUUGAACGCUGGCGGCAGGCCUAACACAUGCAAGUCGACCGAGUGGCGGACGGGUGAGUAAUGUCUGGGAAACUGCCCGAUGGAGGGGGAUAACUACUGGAAACGGUAGCUAAUACCGCAUACCAUCGGAUGUGCCCAGAUGGGAUUAGCUUGUAGGUGAGGUAACGGCUCACCUAGGCGACGCUCCCUAGCGGGUCUGAGAGGAGGACCAGCCAAACUGGAACUGAGACACGGUACAGACUCCGACGGGAGGCAGCAGUGGGGAAUAUUGGACAAUGGGAGCAAGCCUGAUGCAGCCAUGCCGCGUGUAUGAAGAAGGUCUUCGGAUUGUAAAGCACGUUAAGUUGGGAGGCGUUACCAACAGAAUAAGCACCGGCUAACUUCGUGCCAGCAGCCGCGGUAAUAC
rnacentral:rRNA from 1 species